rnacentral:rRNA from 1 species
CUACGUGCCAGCAGCCGCGGUAAUACGUAGGUGGCAAGCGUUGUCCGGAAUUAUUGGGCGUAAAGGGCUUGUAGGCGGUUGGUCGCGUCUGCCGUGAAAUCCUCUGGCUUAACUGGGGGCGUGCGGUGGGUACGGGCUGACUUGAGUGCGGUAGGGGAGACUGGAACUCCUGGUGUAGCGGUGGAAUGCGCAGAUAUCAGGAAGAACACCGGUGGCGAAGGCGGGUCUCUGGGCCGUUACUGACGCUGAGGAGCGAAAGCGUGGGGAGCGAACAGGAUUAGAUACCCUGGUAGUCCACGCAGUAAACGAUGACAACUGGGCGUAUGCGAUAUACAGUAUGCUCCUAAGCGAAAGCGUUAAGUUAUCCACCUGGGGAGUACGCCGGCAACGGUGAAACUCAAAGGAAUUGACGGGGGCCCGCACAAGCGGAGGAACAUGUGGUUUAAUUCGAUGAUACGCGAGGAACCUUACCCGGGAUUGAA